rnacentral:rRNA from 1 species
AGUGAACGCUGGCGGUAGGCCUAACACAUGCAAGUCGAACGGCAGCACAGUAAGAGCUUGCUCUUACGGGUGGCGAGUGGCGGACGGGUGAGGAAUACAUCGGAAUCUACUUUUUCGUGGGGGAUAACGUAGGGAAACUUACGCUAAUACCGCAUACGACCUACGGGUGAAAGCAGGGGAUCUUCGGACCUUGCGCGAUUGAAUUAGCUGAUGUCGGAUUAGCUAGUUGGCGAGGUAAAGGCCCACCAAGGCGACGAUACGUAGCUGGUCUGAGAGGAUGAUCAGCCACACUGGAACUGAGACACGGUCCAGACUCCUACGGGAGGCAGCAGUGGGGAAUAUUCGGCAAUGGGCGAAAGCCUGAUCCAGCAAUACCGCGUGAGUGAAGAAGGCCUUCGGGUUGUAAAGCCCUUUUGUUGGGGAAGAAAAGCAGCAGAUUAAUACCCCGCUGUUCUGACGGUACCCAAAGAAUAAGCACCGGCUAACUUCGUG